GUGCCGUAGAUAGUUUUGAGGACCUUGGGACAUAACCCAAUCGUACUAGCGGCAUUUAAGCAAUUGCUAAUCAGGUAAGUCAUGAGGAAAGCUAGUUGUGGAGUUUUAGAAGAUCAAGGAGUUCUUAGUUGCCAA